GAUGAAGAACGUAGCGAAAUGCGAUAAGUAAUGUGAAUUGCAGAAUUCAGUGAAUCAUCGAAUCUUUGAACGCACAUUGCGCCCGUCAGUAUUCUGGCGGGCAUGCCUGUUCGAGCGUCAUUACGCCCCUCAAGUCCUCUGUGGACUUGGUGUUGGGGAUCGGCGAGGCUGGUUUUCCAGCACAGCCGUCCCUUAAAUUAAUUGGCGGUCUCGCCGUGGCCCUCCUCUGCGCAGUAGUAAAACACUCGCAACAGGAGCCCGGCGCGGUCCACUGCCGUAAAACCCCCCAACUUUUUAUAGUUGACCUCGAAUCAGGUAGGACUACCCGCUGAACUUAAGCAUAUCAAUAAGCGGAGGA
rnacentral:misc_RNA from 1 species